rnacentral:sRNA from 1 species
AAAGAACAAAUGGCAGAGGAAGAGAAGACUUGGUAGAUGGAGUCUCGUUCUGUCACCAAGGCUGGAGCACAACAUCAGCUCACUGAAACCUCUGCCUCCCAGGUUCAAGUGAUUCUCCUGCUUCAGCCUCCCAAGUAGCUGGGACUACAGAAAACAUUGUUGUUAGUAAUCACACUCUACAAACUUUACAAGAAGGGCUCAGAUAUUUUUGAGGCUUUGCUAGCCAACCCAGAAGGAAGUGGUCUCCGAAUUCAAGACAAUAAUAAUCUUUUCCUGUCCUUGGGUCUGCAAGAGAAAAUUUUGAAAAAACUUCAGACAGUGGAAAACAAAAUGAAGAACCUAGAGGGGAUAAUCAUUGCUCAAAAACCUGCCACAAAGAGGGAUUGCUCUUCUGAGCCCUACUGCAGCUGCUCUGACUGCCAGAGUCCCUUGCCCACAUCAGGGUUUACUUCCCCAUUUGAAAUGUGAUGGACUCCAAUCUUUUCCAGGAAAGCACUGUUUCCCUCAUGUGUGCAGUGGUGUAUCAAUAAAGAUAGAGAACGCUAUUGAA